rnacentral:rRNA from 1 species
ACUCGAGUGGCGAACGGGUGAGUAACACGUGGGUGAUCUGCCCUGCACUUCGGGAUAAGCCUGGGAAACUGGGUCUAAUACCGGAUAGGAGCCAUUUUUAGUGUGAUGGUUGGAAAGUUUUUCGGUGUAGAAUGAGCUCGCGGCCUAUCAGCUUGUUGGUGGGGUAAUGGCCUACCAAGGCGGCGACGGGUAGCCGGCCUGAGAGGGUGGACGGCCACAUUGGGACUGAGAUACGGCCCAG